rnacentral:rRNA from 1 species
GAUUCUGGCUCAGGAUGAACGCUGGCGGCGUGCUUAACACAUGCAAGUCGAGCGGAAAUAUUUAAAGCUUGCUUUGAAUAUUUAGCGGCGGACGGGUGAGUAACGUGUGGGUAACCUGCCAUAUACUGUGGAAUAACCAUUUGAAAAGAUGACUAAUACCGCAUGUCGUCACCGAGGGGCAUCCCUUGGUAGAAAAAAGGAGCAAUCCGGUAUAUGAUGGACCCGCAUCUGAUUAGCUAGUUGGUGAGAUAAUAGCUCACCAAGGCGACGAUCAGUAGCCGACCUGAGAGGGUGAUCGGCCACAUUGGGACUGAGACACGGCCCAAACUCCUACGGGAGGCAGCAGUGGGGAAUAUUGCACAAUGGGCGAAAGCCUGAUGCAGCAACGCCGCGUGAAGGAAGAAGGGUUUCGGCUCGUAAACUUCUAUCAAUGGGGAAGAAAUAAAUGACGGUACCCAAAUAAGAAGCCCCGGCUAACUACGUGCCAGCCGCUGC